rnacentral:rRNA from 1 species
UAGGGAAUCUUCCGCAAUGGACGCAAGUCUGACGGAGCAACGCCGCGUGAGUGAAGAAGGAUUUCGGUUCGUAAAACUCUGUUGUUAGAGAAGAACAGCGCAUAGAGUAACUGUUAUGCGUGUGACGGUAUCUAACCAGAAAGCCACGGCUAACUACGUGCCAGCAGCCGCGGUAAUACGUAGGUGGCAAGCGUUGUCCGGAUUUAUUGGGCGUAAAGCGAGCGCAGGCGGUCAAUUAAGUCUGAUGUGAAAGCCCCCGGCUCAACCGGGGAGGGUCAUUGGAAACUGGUUGACUUGAGUGCAGAAGAGGAGGGAGGAAUUCCAUGUGUAGCGGUGAAAUGCGUGGAUAUAUGGAGGAACACCAGUGGGGAAGGCGACUGUCUGGUCUGUAACUAACGCGGAGGCUCGAAAACGUGGGUAGCAAACAGG